UGUUGCUAGAAAGCAUUUUGCCCUGGGAA
rnacentral:piRNA from 1 species